rfam:Ixodes scapularis strain Wikel colony gcontig_1107728974536, whole genome shotgun sequence.
ACAGUCGUGGCCGAGUGGUUAAGGCUAUGGACUAGAAAUCCAUUGGGGUCUCCCCUGUCGACUGCG